UAAGGAAUAUUGGUCAAUGGGGGCAACCCUGAACCAGCCAUGCCGCGUGCAGGAAGAAGGUCCUCUGGAUUGUAAACUGCUUUUAUGAGGGACUAAUCCGGUGCUAUACGCACCGUUGCAGGUACCUUAAGAAUAAGCACCGGCUAACUACGUGCCAGCAGCCGCGGUAAUACGUAGGGUGCAAGCGUUGUCCGGAUUUAUUGGGUUUAAAGGGUGUGCAGGCGGUUUGUUAAGUUAGUGGUGAAAGCGUCCGGCUUAACCGGAUAUCCGCCAUUGAUACUGGCAGACUUGAGUACGACAGAGGAUGUUAGAAUGCGUGGUGUAGCGGUGAAAUGCAUAGAUAUCACGCAGAAUACCGAUUGCGAAGGCAGACAUCUAUGUCGUAACUGACGCUGAUACACGAAAGCGUGGGGAGCGAACAGGAUUAGAUACCCCCGUAGUCC
rnacentral:rRNA from 1 species